GACGAACGCUGGCGGCGUGCUUAACACAUGCAAGUCGAACGAAGAGCGACGGAAGCUUGCUUCUAUCAAUCUUAGUGGCGAACGGGUGAGUAACGCGUAAUCAACCUGCCCUUCAGAGGGGGACAACAGUUGGAAACGACUGCUAAUACCGCAUACGAUCUAACCUCGGCAUCGAGGAUAGAUGAAAGGUGGCCUCUACAUGUAAGCUAUCACUGAAGGAGGGGAUUGCGUCUGAUUAGCUAGUUGGAGGGGUAACGGCCCACCAAGGCGAUGAUCAGUAGCCGGCCGGAGAGGAUGAACGGCCACAUUGGGACUGAGACACGGCCCAGACUCCUACGGGAGGCAGCAGUGGGGAAUCUUCCGCAAUGGACGAAAGUCUGACGGAGCAACGCCGCGUGAGUGAUGACGGCCUUCGGGUUGUAAAGCUCUGUUAAUCGGGACGAAAGGCCUUCUUGCGAAUAGUGAGAAGGAUUGACGGUACCGGAAUAGAAAGCCACGGCUAACUACGUG
rnacentral:rRNA from 1 species